GCUGUGGCUGGGGCUCCGUCGAGCGGCUAUUGAGUAAUAGGCAGCAAAGAGAGAAACAGAGUGGCAGAGAGGCAGAGACAGUGAGAGAGUGAGAGAGGCGCAUUGAAAACGAAAGUGAAAAGAAGAAGAGCAGACGGCAAAAGUGUGGCAAUCGCAUGUUGCUGUUGGUUGCCUGCUGCUGCGGCUAUUACUGUGGCUAAUCGCUAGUCACUGACUAGUUAGCCCCACUGUCCUCCCUAGGCCCACAAACAUACACAUACACAUACACACACACACACACAACUACAUACAACACACAAAAAAAUGUUAACGCAAAGAGGAAGUCAAGUUUUCCUGUGGAACUAAUUCGAGUGCUUAGCAAAACCAACAAUUUCCGAAACAAAAUUGCUGCAGGAAAAACCCCCACACACACACACACACACACACACACACUCCACCGUGGUUUAAACAUUGAAGUAAAGAGAUACCGAGUUCAUGGCAAGAGAUAUGGGUAUGUGAGAGGCUAAGUCAAUCAAUCAAUCGACAGUCAAUAAUUAUUGGCCAAAGUCACGGAAUCAAUGACACAAAUUCGCGCUACCAAUGUCACCGCCGCCGCCCGUCCAGCCAUCUCAUCUCAACAGAGAUUCGCGCAACGCGCCACAAUCAACGUGCAACGUAGACGUUGGGCCAUUCGAGUGGCAGCCAUAGUUUAAUGUUUUUAAUGUACAAAUUAUGGCCUCCUGGGCUGGGCUGUGCGAACGGUGGAAUGGGUGAUGCGGAAUUGUGUGCCAUUUGUGGCACUCCACCAAAUAGGCCACAACCAGUAAAACAUAACCAGCCAAAGGUGGGUGGGAAGCAGUUUUCUCUUUUGAGCUGUCCCAAUGGGUGGCGGCGUUCAAGGUCGAUUGUCGUGCCACUGCCGCCCAGAAACCCGUUGCUCCUCCAAACGGAAAAAGCUUAGUUUCGUGGCGUUGGAUUGCGCAUAUCCAUUUAUCCAUUGCCCAAUGCUACGAGCCGUCAACUAAUGCGAUUUAUUUUUGUUGGAUGCCAUUGUCUGCAUUGCCGCAGACUCGCGUGGAUCGGAGCGUGGAUUGUGUGCUCCAGAGACGAUUGCGAUGGAUUGCUAUUCUAAUUGUAUUAUUUAGUUGCAAUCCUGGACCAUGGUUUCUCUCUAUCAUUUCCCGCCAUCUAUUGCUUUAAAUGAAGCUCCAAGAAAUGCUUGGUCAGCAUGGAAGCACCUGCUCCUGAGAUUAUUUGCUGAUUAUGUGCCAAUAAUACCAAUGCCUUGAGGAUUUUGUAUCUGUAAGUACAUCCAGGAUGUUGGCCACGCAUUUGAAUUUCAUAGCUUGGGCACUACCUUGAGGCUGUUGGAGGCGGACAUUUUGGAUGGAUGGAUGACACCCGGGAAUGAUAGUAUGAUAUGUAUGAUAGUCAUCAUACCAUACAUACAUAGAUACCGCAGCACAUUUUUUUCGAAGUCCAUUGAGGAAAAACAGGAAUGACAACCAGUCAAAAUACGAAAUGAACUGAUUUUUGUCACUUUGCUCAGCAUGCCGAGCAAUUUACUCCAUAGUAUGUUCUAUGAGUUUAAAUAGUAGUAUUGUAGUAGUAUAAGCAGGAGCAUUAAUUCGUUAUAAAUAUUUCUGUUUGAAAUCCAAAUUAAUUUAUUAUUUAAAAUUCUCAGUUCAACUAAAUUUCGUGUAAAAUGUGGGCGAUGAAUUUGUACUCUGUGCUGUGCGUUAGCUGCCUUCUAUUUGUCAUGAUCCAUCGACGACAUGGCGACAUACAAGCAGCUCCCAUCCACAGUACGCAUGGUUCUGGCGGCUCGACCGAGUCAUCGCUCCAGGAAAGCAACUCUGCGAUUCAGGGCCCGAAGAUAGACGAGGCUAUCAUGGACCCUGGACAGACACAAGAAUUGGUAUCCGUAUCCGAAUCGAACAUGGCACUGCCUACGGGACUGAGCCGCAAAUUCACUUCGAAAAUUGUGAAAAAUUCACCGACAGUUGACAAUGACAGUGUCAGUGAGAAGCAAAAGGCCGGCGUUAAGCAACGUCAGGGUCGAGCUAUAAAGAUCGUUUUGCUCGUUUCGGGACGGGGGUAACGAAGACAUGGCCGAAGGAGCUUACCAUACCACUAGCUCGCGGAAUUGUAGACAA